GAAGAACGGUCGGCGCUUAAACCCCGCAAAGGGGGAAGGCACGGCCCGGACCGACGGUAGGGUCAGGCGACUUGGGGUG
rnacentral:rRNA from 1 species